UACAGAGGUCUCAAGCGUUGUUCGGAUUCAUUGGGCGUAAAGGGUGCGUAGGUGGCGCGCUAAGUCAGGUGUGAAAUUUCGGAGCUUAACUCCGAAACUGCAUUUGAUACUGGCGUGCUUGAGGACUGGAGAGGAGACUGGAAUUCUCGGUGUAGCAGUGAAAUGCGUAGAUAUCGAGAGGAACACCAGUGGCGAAGGCGAGUCUCUGGACGACUCCUGACACUGAGGCACGAAAGCUAGGGGAGCAAACAGG
rnacentral:rRNA from 1 species